UAAAAAAAUCUUAUUGUCUGAAGGUACAAGGUACAAGGCUUCAAAAACUUAAAAUACCUUCUUGUAAAUGCCCAAAAGGCCUAGAGCUUAGGUAUUAAUGCGGUGGCAUAGCAUUUUUCUCAAAUGCAAUCUUGUUUUGUUUUUUUUUCUGUAUUUUUAAAUCCAUUGUUUUUGUGUCGCCUCUACGGAGUAGUGGCGACAUAUAGGGAUCACUUCUCCGUCGUCUGUCUGUCCGUCUGUCUGUCUGUCCGUCCGUCCGUCACAAAACUUGUCCGGACUACUCCUCAUAAACUACUGGUGCAAUUUCAUCCAAACUUUACAGGAAUGAUCAGUACCAAGUUUAGUUGUGCAUAUUGUCAGGAUUUUCCGGUUCAAUGAUUUUUGUCAGAGUUAUGGCCCUUUAAUAAUUUUUAUUUUUAAAGUUUGUCCGGACUACUUCUCUUAUACCACUAAUGCAAUUUCAGUGAAACUUUACAGGAUUGAUCUGUAGCUCAAGUCCUUGCGCAUAUUGCACGGGUUUUCCGGUUGAAUGAUUUUUGGCCGAGUUAUGGCCCUUUGAUAAAAAGGUUUCUUUUUCUGUGUGUUGCCAGAUACGCAAAAGCUUGUCCGGACUACUCCUCAUAAACUACUGGUGCAAUUUCAUCCAAAAUUUACAGGAAUGAUCAGUACAAAGUGGUUAGUCUAGUUGUGCACUGUCCGUCUGUCUGUCCGUCUGUCACAAAAUUUGUCCCAACAUGAAAUUGGCCAUCAUGAGGCGACACAUGUGAUUACUGAUCGCUCUUGUUUUUUGUUAUAAAUGUUAUUUUUUCUGUCUGAAUAUGUGAAACGUUUAUUUUUGGAUUUUUGUGUGUGCUGUGAUACAGUGCAACAGAGUUAUUUUAUUUUUAUACCCCCGCACAACAAAGUUGUAAGGGGGGGUAUACUGGAAUCAGCUUGUCCGUCCGGCUGUCCGGCCGGCCGUCGGUUUUUUCUUGUCCGCCCAAUAACUUAAGAUUCCUUUGACCCUUAGUCUUCAUAUUUGGCAUGGAGGUUAGUCAUGAUUAGUAGAUGACCCCUAUUGAUUUUGAGGUCACUAGGUCAAAGGUCAAGGUCACAGGGGCCUUGACUUCAAAAAGCUUGUCCGCCCAAUAAUUUAAGAUUCCUUUGACCCACAGUCUUCAUAUUUGGCAUGGAGGUUAGUCAUGAUUAGUAGAUGACCCCUAUUGAUUUUGAGGUCACCAGGUCAAAGGUCAAGGUCACAGGGGCCUUGACUUCAAAAAGCUUGUCCGCCCAAUAAUUUAAGAUUCCUUUGACCCACAGUCUUCAUAUUUGGCAUGGAUGUUGAUCAUGACUAUAAGAUGACCCCUACUGAUUUUGAGGUCACUGGGUCAAAGGUCAAGGUCACAGGGACCUUGACAAAAAAAAGCUUUUCUUCUCAAUUGCUAAAGAAUGUCCUGUCCGCAAUGUAUUGAUUUUGACAUUUUCACAUUUGAAGCAUGUAGAAUACAUAACUUAACAAUGCACUGGCUUAGUAACCCCAGAUUUGGCAGGGAGGUUGUCCUUGAGCUCUAAAUGGCCACUGUGGAUUCUGACAAAGUGGUAUGCGGGGGUAUUCACGCCAUGAUAGUGGCAGUUCUAGUUACUACAGAAAUAAAGAAAUCCACCUACAUUUCCUUGUUAAUCACCUGUAUAUAGCAGUUGAAAUUUUUUUGCAGGGACCUUGACAUUAUAGUUACUAUAGAAACUUAAUAGACUGCCAAUUUAUGAUUAAUAUGAUUAACAUAUUUCUUAUUUUGAGGCUCAGUGGCACAUUAGUUAUGGUCCCUGAUUUGUGACUUCACACCACCCAAGAUUAGGGCUUUAUAUCAUUUCAAUAACAUUGGAUUAUUCCAUGUUAAAAAGCUACAUUGAUUUAGUUUGUGGAAAGUCAGUAUUUCAAGAUGCCAAAUUGUGCCAGAAAUAUUCUUUGUAAGGAUCAUCCUCGAGUUUCCAUCACCCUAAAAGCUACAAAAGUUGUACUGCAGCAUUAAGAUUAUUUGUGUGAAAGAAAAUGAUUAUAUAUUGUUCAUAUAGCAAUUUUUACAAAUUAAAAAACAUUGCUGGGGCAAACUGAAAAUACUGUACGGAAUCUUCUACAAAAACAUGGAUAAAAAUAUUUUUUGAACCUUUAUGGGUGUCUAAAUAAAAUUACCUAAAAAUAGUAUGUCAUCAAGUGGUGUCAAGGUCAUUGCAAGCUAUUUCAAUCACUGGCUUUAUCUUUGUUAAUAAUAUUGAUAGUUUAAAUUUGUUAUAAACCUGUAUGCUGUUUACACAAUCACAAAAAAACACACAAAAAAACAUACACACUCAAGCAAAGUAACAUUGAUGUUAUAUUAUACAAAGUGACCACCUACUUAUAUUGAUUAUUAAUUUCUAAAUAUAUUUGAACCAAACUAUGCAAUUUAUUUUUGUAAUGCAAUAGUUAUAUAGCCUGCAAUAUAUGUAUAUAAAUUUUAUUCUUUUUAAGCUUGCUUGCUUUUUAUUAAGUCUUCUAUAAGAGUUAAAUAUUUCUUAUGUUAAGAAAUAUUCUAUAAUCAGAAACACUGUUCUUAUUAUAUAUUGUUAUGUUUGAAAAUCUCCAGAUUUACCAUAUUAAGUAAAUACUUUGUAAAUAUGAAA